GCUCCCAUAGCUCAGUUGGUAGAGCGCGGCACUAGUAUCCUCACUGCCAUGCCGAGGUCAGCGGUUCAAAUCCGCUUGGGUGCA
rfam:Rachicladosporium antarcticum strain CCFEE 5527 scaffold_31, whole genome shotgun sequence.